GUGUAAGUGUACGUACAUUUGUCUUUCUUAUUUCCCGUGUACGUAUAAGUACUGAUUGUUUCAGACAUAACAAAAUAGAGGAUAUAGCCGAUGAAAUUGAUAACUACUGCCACAGGUUGAUGCGGGAGAUGUACCCAAUGUAGUUCCAGAGAGUAAAGUGGAUGACUCAGUACUUGAGGGCACCCCUAGUGAUCCCCCUUCACCAUUUGCAGUAGUUAAGAAUGUAAGCUAACUAUAUUUAUAAAUAAAAUAGUGUAGGCUUGUUUAAAUUUAUAAUCUUCUAUUAUGCAGGUGUUACAGGAGUUGGCAACGAAAGCCUCCAUGGAUGUGGAU
rnacentral:lncRNA from 1 species